rnacentral:lncRNA from 1 species
CUUUUUAAAGUUACAUCGUGAUAAUUCUUUUUACAAGAAUCCUUUAGCUGCAAAAAUAAUUAUGCCCUAAUUUAUCUUUCUUCUAAAUCUAGAUUUUUCACAUUAUAUACAAACAAGCCUGUUAUUAAGUUCUGAUUCCAGAUUUUUAAAAAUUGCAAUGAAAACACAGCUUUGCAUGUGGCAGAGCUGAAAAUGAGGCCAGUUCCACUUAUUUCAUUACUCUGGUUUUAUUGCAUUUCACCCAAGUACAUUUUCCUAAUUCUGUUUUUAUAUUUUCCCAUCUAUGAAAAUACACAAGAUUUGAAAACUGAUUUUACUUCAUUAAUAUUUCAAACCAUACUUCAAACUGGUGUCAGGUAUGGAUUUUGUGUCAUAAUUCUGGAAAUGAAAAAUACUACAUUCCUUAUUUUUCUUCUUUCUCUAAAUGGAAAUAAAAUCUUUUCCAAGCCCCCAUCCUACCAGAAUGGAAUUUAAUCUCAUUCUCAGCCUACAAAUCAGUCCUGAAUCUAAUCUAAUUUGGUGGUUUUAUAUAAGGCUUUAUAAAGCAAAGUGCCUAUGAUAAUACUGUGUGGUCAACACAAAGAAAUACUGCACACUUAGAGCUCCUAUGUUGUAGGAAUUAUUAAUUGCAUUAGUAAUCAAAAAAAUAUACCUGUAGGAACAACUUAAGAAUGGAAAUACAAUUUUUUGACACAAAGGGAUGGAUGUUUAAAUAUUAUAGCAUGUGCUACUGGUUCAGAAGGGGAAGCUGUCACUGUGUGUGGGAAUAGCCAGGGAUCACGGUCAGAGAUGGACUUAUUUAUCUGGCCCUUAAACAUAAAUAAGAUUUUAAUAAGUGGGGAGGGGAUUCCAGGUGAGGGAAGUAGCCUAAAGCAAGGCUUGGAAGAAAAAGGUGCUCAGGGCCCAGAGAACUGGCCUGGCUGAAACAGCGUGUUCAUGUUGGGGGAGUGUGUAAGGCUGGGAUUUAGGAAACACUGAGUGUCAGGGAGUUGGCAUCUUAUCCGGAAAUGAAUGGCUAUGAGCAGAGUGGUGGCAGGACCAGUAUCAACGUGAGUCCGAUGACUCAGACUUCAGAAAGACACCGAAACAACUCCAAGUAUGAAAGGGUAGGGAGGGGAAAAUAAUGAUCUUCCAAGAGGAAGAGUCUAACAUGCUGACAGGACUUCAGGAUUUGGGGUCUCUGUGACAACUAAAUAUUUGACCAAAAAGGGAAAUUCAUAGGAGAGGGCAAUUUUUGGAACACAAGCAUGAUUUUAGAAAAGAAGCUGAAUUAUUUUACCAGCUAGUGAUAUUUAUAAUCAUUACAAUUUCACAAGUUCACUGUAAGAAACAGUGUAAAGAUAGAAAAGCAAAGGGCCUGGCUG